rnacentral:rRNA from 1 species
AACUAACGCUGGCGGCAUGCCUAACACAUGCAAGUCGAACGAUUGCCUUCGGGUGAUAGUGGCGCACGGGUGCGUAACGCGUGGGAAUCUGCCCUUAGGUUCGGAAUAACAGCUGGAAACGGCUGCUAAUACCGGAUGAUAUCGCGAGAUCAAAGAUUUAUCGCCUGAGGAUGCGCCCGCGUUGGAUUAGGUAGUUGGUGGGGUAAAGGCCUACCAAGCCGACGAUCCAUAGCUGGUCUGAGAGGAUGAUCAGCCACACUGGGACUGAGACACGGCCCAGACUCCUACGGGAGGCAGCAGUGGGGAAUAUUGGACAAUGGGCGCAAGCCUGAUCCAGCAAUGCCGCGUGAGUGAUGAAGGCCCUAGGGUUGUAAAGCUCUUUUACCCGGGAAGAUAAUGACUGUACCGGGAGAAUAAGCCCCGGCUAACUCCGUG